rnacentral:tRNA from 1 species
CCUGGUAGCUCAGUCAGUAAAGAAUCUGCCUGCAAUGCAGGAGACCCAGGUUCGAUCCCUGGGUCAGGA